UAAGCGUUUACUAUCGCCAGUACUGUUGACUUCUGCAGUUGGAUGUAAAGUAAACUGUCUGUACUGUUACCCUGUGAGGAGGUUCAGACAGGCUAAUUUCACAUACCCACUUCAGGAACAGGACCCCUUCACUAAAUCAUUACAACAAUGGCAGGAUUGAGAGCAUGGUUUGGACGUGGAUUAGAUCAGGAUUAUGUCGACUCCAUCAACAGCUUCUGGACAGUUCUUCUAUUGGCCGUGUGUUCUGUGGGAUCAUUCGCCAUGCGUUACAUCACUACACCCAUCAGUUGUUGGUGCCCUGCUCAAUUCGAACAGUCUCAGUACUCGUACACGCAGGAAUCGUGUUUUCUGAAGGGCUUGUAUUAUAUGAAGUCAAUGCCUGAUGAUUAUGACGACGAAAAACCGGAACCUGUACCCUCCUAUCACCUCUGGAUACCACUCAUACUCUUCUUCCAAGCGCUCGCUUUCAAACUACCAAACAUCAUAUGGAACAGCAGCAAGCACUUGUUUACUUUCAAUAUGGAAGAAACGGUGGAGUCCCUGAAAAGUGUACAAUUGACCAAUGCCGAGAAUAGCCAGGUCAUGUUCAGUGAUGCAGCCCGAAUAUUUGGAAGUCUGUUGAGAAGAAAUCGAAUCAUUUUG
rnacentral:misc_RNA from 1 species